rnacentral:rRNA from 1 species
GACGAACGCUGGCGGCGUGCUUAACACAUGCAAGUCGAACGGAAAGGCCCUGCUUUUGUGGGGUGCUCGAGUGGCGAACGGGUGAGUCACACGUGAGUAACCUGCCCUUGACUUUGGGAUAACUUCAGGAAACUGGGGCUAAUACCGGAUAGGCGCUCCUGCUGCAUGGUGGGGGUUGGAAAGUUUCGGCGGUUGGGGAUGGACUCGCGGCUUAUCAGCUUGUUGGUGGGGUAGUGGCUUACCAAGGCUUUGACGGGUAGCCGGCCUGAGAGGGUGACCGGCCACAUUGGGACUGAGAUACGGCCCAGACUCCUACGGGAGGCAGCAGUGGGGAAUAUUGCACAAUGGGCGGAAGCCUGAUGCAGCAACGCCGCGUGCGGGAUGACGGCCUUCGGGUUGUAAACCGCUUUCGCCUGUGACGAAGCGUGAGUGACGGUAAUGGGUAAAGAAGCACCGGCUAACUACGUG